CCUACGGGUGGCAGCAGUCGAGAAUCUUUCACAAUGGGGGCAACCCUGAUGGAGCGACGCCGCGUGGAGGAUAAGGUCUUCGGAUUGUAAACUCCUGUCAUGCGAGAGCUAGUAUCGCAAGAGGAAGAGACGGCUAACUCUGUGCCAGCAGCCGCGGUAAUACAGAGGUCUCAAGCGUUGUUCGGAAUCACUGGGCGUAAAGGGUGCGUAGGCUGCGGAGUAAGUCGGGUGUGAAAUUUGAGGGCUCAACCCUCAACUAGCACCUGAUACUGCUUCGCUAGAGACCUGGAGAGGAGUUUGGAAUUCUCGGUGUAGCAGUGAAAUGCGUAGAUUUCGAGAAGAACACUCGCUGCGAAAGCGAAACUCUGGACAGGCUGACGCUGAGGCACGAAGGCUAGGGGAGCAAACGGGAUUAGAUACCCUUGUAGUC
rnacentral:rRNA from 1 species